rnacentral:rRNA from 1 species
GAUGAACGUUGGCGACGUGCCUAACACAUGCAAGUCGAGCGGAGAAGAAGAGAGUGGACUUUUCGGAGUGAACUCGUUUCGGAGCAGCGGCGGACGGGUGAGUAAUACAUGAGGAACCUGCCCUCUACAAGGGGAUAGCUGGGGGAAAACGCGAUUAAUACCCUAUGAGACAACGAAAGCGCAUGCCGUUGGGGUUAAAGAUUUAUCGGUAGAAGAUGGCCUCAUGACCCAUUAGCUAGUUGGUGAUUUAACCGACCACCAAGGCGACGAUGGGUAGCCGGCUUGAGAGCGUGCCCGGCCACCUUGGAACUGAGACCCGGUCCAGACUCCCACGGGAGGCAGCAGUGGGGAAUGUUGCACGCUGGGGGAGACCCUGAUGCAGCGACGUCGCGUGAGCGAAGAAGGCCUUCGGGUCGUAAAGCUCUGUCCUAUGGGCAGACAAGGACGGUACCAUAGAAGGAAGCCCCGGCUAACUACGUG